UGGUGACAUCGGUGAACGCUUCUUUGGCGAGCAGCUCGUCGAAUACGUUGAGAAGGACAACUGUCGACUUGCCUGCCGACGCGAAGGUAUGACUAAGGCUACCAGAAGGAAAAUGAUCAACCGAGAGACUGCACGAAACACGUCCGACCUGAGCGUUGUCCGAAUCGCGACUGAAACGCUGGAAAUGUUUUCGCCCUUUCCCUCGUUCGCUUUUCCUUAUCACAAAAUUGAGGCGAGAUUAGUCAUUUGGGUCUGAGUGAAAACGUGGCAAAAAACAAACCCGUAGGAUCGCUGUUCGAACUGAUAAAGACGUGCACAUUAGAAGCAGACCUUAAAUACAUAUUAAUUAUGGUAGAUAAGCGUCCGCCGGACUAAUGUGGUUCUAUCCGCUGUUGCUCGCGGUACGCUAAAUAACUCUGCGCACCAUCUAAACGUUUCGAGCCCGAGAAUGUUUUCGGAACGUGCAUUUUCGAUGCGCAUUACGAGGAUUAUGCCGCGUCCUGCGGCAAUAACGUUGACGCGCAGGUACGAUAUUAUAAAUAAUACAAAUAGGACUAUGAAAAUAGGAAGUCUUUCCUCUGCGAGGAAAGAAAUAACAAGGUAAGGAUGAGAAAAAUGCUGCAAACAAUGGAUGAAAAUUCAAGUACACAUAUAAAUAAAUAAGAAUCGAGAAGAAUCGAGAAAUAUGUAAAAAAAAGAAUAGCAGACACGAAAUAUUGUAAAUAUCGUAAACGAAAUACGAUGCGCGGAAAUCGUGAAGUUGGCGCGCGUCGAGGGCAGCGAUAAAAAAGCGAUAAGUGAUUUUACGGGCGAAUAAGAACAAAAUUGUGGUAGUCGCGUUGCAUUAUAUACCUGCCGCUGGCUACUGACCGUAUCUAUAGAUAAUUUUUUCAAGUUCCUGAUGAUAACGGCAUACAUGUAUGCACGACAUUGUGCCACAAUAGCAGCGGUCCUACAGCCAUUGACAAUUCCCGUACUCUUGUUUGAUUUUGAUUUGGCUUUGUGCUGUGUGUGUAGCUUUGUGUGUGUGUGUGUGUGGGGUUCGUUAGAGAAUUUCCCAUUUUUCUCAUUUGUUAUCUUAUCUCGCUGUAUCACUGCGCAAAGAAUUUGAAAGAUAAGGAGAAGAAAAGGGACGAUCGAUAAUGCGACCCAACGCCCUUGAAGGGAUAAUAGGCAAAAAACAAGCGCGCUGCGAGGGUAGUCGAUAUUUGCAUUUCCCGCGAACGAGACACGUCACGCGCCAAUUCCCACGUUCGCCCGAUCACAACGUCGCUGUCGGACAAUACAGUGGUAGAAAAGCAUACACGUGCAAACGCGAAGUGCUCAAAACUGUCAACAGCGCCGUCGACUUUUAAUUUAACCGUAUUUUUAUCAUACGGUUUGCAAAUUAAUAAGCGUUACCCUUAUUUGUCGUGCGACUUCGAGAAAGAAUUCCUGAAGCAAGAA